rnacentral:lncRNA from 12 species
GAAGAAGAAGAAGAAUAUCCUGAGUCAGUGGGGAAAGGGAUGUUGGCUGCAAAGUAAAGUCAUUUAAAACCCACCCAGAUGCCUCCAGGUGGGAGAUAACAAGUGUACAAUAAGAGCCUGCGAGUGAGACCACAUUAAGAAGGCAACACAAACAAGAAGAAAUCUCAAGGAUAAAGAGG